UACGAAGGGGACUAGCGUUGUUCGGAUUUACUGGGCGUAAAGCGCGCGUAGGCGGACCUGCAAGUCGGGGGUGAAAGCCCGAGGCUCAACCUCGGAACUGCCUUUGAUACUGCAAGUCUUGAGUCCGGAAGAGGUGAGUGGAAUUCCUAGUGUAGAGGUGAAAUUCGUAGAUAUUAGGAAGAACACCAGUGGCGAAGGCGGCUCACUGGUCCGGUACUGACGCUGAGGUGCGAAAGCGUGGGGAGCAAACAGGG
rnacentral:rRNA from 1 species